UGAAGUUUUCUUUUAGAGAUUUAAGAUUUGAUCAUGGUUUAAAAUGAUUUAAAAUGGUAUUAUCUAAAUUUGAUUUACGGAGUGGACAAUGAAAAUUUAUCCCGGCAAAUUAUCGCUUGUAAAAUACUUGUUCCAGAAUAAUCGGCUAGACUUGUUAAGCUUGUACUUUAAUUGUUGUUAACUAUAAAUAAUUUUUUAUUACUUUAAAGGUUUAAGGUAGAAUUAGAACUUUUUUAAGAGAAAGUUUAUAGUUUUAAAUUUUGUUGAACGAAUUAGAUUAGUACCUAAUUAGACAAAAAUUAAAAGAGCAGGAGUAAAGUUGUAUUUAAACUGAAAAGAUAUUGGCAGACAUUCUAAAUUAUCUUUGGAGGCUGAGUAAUAAUUGAGAACCCCCAUUAACUACUUAGUUUUUAGACUCAUGUAUGAUCGUUUAUUUUAUUCUUAAGGUUAAUAA
rnacentral:rRNA from 1 species